GCACAUAUUGUGAGCUCGAUGAGUAGGGCGGGACACGUGGUAUCCUGUCUGAAUAUGGGGGGACCAUCCUCCAAGGCUAAAUACUCCUGACUGACCGAUAGUGAACCAGUACCGUGAGGGAAAGGCGAAAAGAACCCCGGCGAGGGGAGUGAAAAAGAACCUGAAACCGUGUACGUACAAGCAGUGGGAGCCUCUUAAUGGGGUGACUGCGUACCUUUUGUAUAAUGGGUCAGCGACUUAUAUUCUGUAGCAAGGUUAACCGAAUAGGGGAGCCGAAGGGAAACCGAGUCUUAACUGGGCGUUAAGUUGCAGGGUAUAGACCCGAAACCCGGUGAUCUAGCCAUGGGCAGGUUGAAGGUUGGGUAACACUAACUGGAGGACCGAACCGACUAAUGUUGAAAAAUUAGCGGAUGACUUGUGGCUGGGGGUGAAAGGCCAAUCAAACCGGGAGAUAGCUGGUUCUCCCCGAAAGCUAUUUAGGUAGCGCCUCGUGAAUUCAUCUCCGGGGGUAGAGCACUGUUUCGGCAAGGGGGUCAUCCCGACUUACCAACCCGAUGCAAACUGCGAAUACCGGAGAAUGUUAUCACGGGAGACACACGGCGGGUGCUAACGUCCGUCGUGAAGAGGGAAACAACCCAGACCGCCAGCUAAGGUCCCAAAGUCAUGGUUAAGUGGGAAACGAUGUGGGAAGGCCCAGACAGCCAGGAUGUUGGCUUAGAAGCAGCCAUCAUUUAAAGAAAGCGUAAUAGCUCACUGGUCGAGUCGGCCUGCGCGGAAGAUGUAACGGGGCUAAACCAUGCACCGAAGCUGCGGCAGCGACACUAUGUGUUGUUGGGUAGGGGAGCGUUCUGUAAGCCUGUGAAGGUGGCCUGUGAGGGUUGCUGGAGGUAUCAGAAGUGCGAAUGCUGACAUAAGUAACGAUAAAGCGGGUGAAAAGCCCGCUCGCCGGAAGACCAAGGGUUCCUGUCCAACGUUAAUCGGGGCAGGGUGAGUCGACCCCUAAGGCGAGGCCGAAAGGCGUAGUCGAUGGGAAACAGGUUAAUAUUCCUGUACUUGGUGUUACUGCGAAGGGGGGACGGAGAAGGCUAUGUUGGCCGGGCGACGGUUGUCCCGGUUUAAGCGUGUAGGCUGGUUUUCCAGGCAAAUCCGGAAAACCAAGGCUGAGGCGUGAUGACGAAGCACUACGGUGCUGAAGCGACAAAUGCCCUGCUUCCAGGAAAAGCCUCUAAGCAUCAGGUAACAUCAAAUCGUACCCCAAACCGACACAGGUGGUCAGGUAGAGAAUACCAAGGCGCUUGAGAGAACUCGGGUGAAGGAACUAGGCAAAAUGGUGCCGUAACUUCGGGAGAAGGCACGCUGAUAUGUAGGUGAAGCGACUUGCUCGUGGAGCUGAAAUCAGUCGAAGAUACCAGCUGGCUGCAACUGUUUAUUAAAAACACAGCACUGUGCAAACACGAAAGUGGACGUAUACGGUGUGACGCCUGCCCGGUGCCGGAAGGUUAAUUGAUGGGGUUAGCGGUAACGCGAAGCUCUUGAUCGAAGCCCCGGUAAACGGCGGCCGUAACUAUAACGGUCCUAAGGUAGCGAAAUUCCUUGUCGGGUAAGUUCCGACCUGCACGAAUGGCGUAAUGAUGGCCAGGCUGUCUCCACCCGAGACUCAGUGAAAUUGAACUCGCUGUGAAGAUGCAGUGUACCCGCGGCAAGACGGAAAGACCCCGUGAACCUUUACUAUAGCUUGACACUGAACAUUGAGCCUUGAUGUGUAGGAUAGGUGGGAGGCUUUGAAGUGUGGACGCCAGUCUGCAUGGAGCCGACCUUGAAAUACCACCCUUUAAUGUUUGAUGUUCUAACGUUGGCCCGUAAUCCGGGUUGCGGACAGUGUCUGGUGGGUAGUUUGACUGGGGCGGUCUCCUCCUAAAGAGUAACGGAGGAGCACGAAGGUUGGCUAAUCCUGGUCGGACAUCAGGAGGUUAGUGCAAUGGCAUAAGCCAGCUUGACUGCGAGCGUGACGGCGCGAGCAGGUGCGAAAGCAGGUCAUAGUGAUCCGGUGGUUCUGAAUGGAAGGGCCAUCGCUCAACGGAUAAAAGGUACUCCGGGGAUAACAGGCUGAUACCGCCCAAGAGUUCAUAUCGACGGCGGUGUUUGGCACCUCGAUGUCGGCUCAUCACAUCCUGGGGCUGAAGUAGGUCCCAAGGGUAUGGCUGUUCGCCAUUUAAAGUGGUACGCGAGCUGGGUUUAGAACGUCGUGAGACAGUUCGGUCCCUAUCUGCCGUGGGCGCUGGAGAACUGAGGGGGGCUGCUCCUAGUACGAGAGGACCGGAGUGGACGCAUCACUGGUGUUCGGGUUGUCAUGCCAAUGGCACUGCCCGGUAGCUAAAUGCGGAAGAGAUAAGUGCUGAAAGCAUCUAAGCACGAAACUUGCCCCGAGAUGAGUUCUCCCUGAGACUUAGAGUCUCCUGAAGGAACGUUGAAGACGACGACGUUGAUAGGCCGGGUGUGUAAGCGCAGCGAUGCGUUGAGCUAACCGGUACUAAUGAACCGUGAGGCUUAACCUU
rnacentral:rRNA from 1 species